rnacentral:lncRNA from 1 species
GGUCGUGAAACUUCCAAUAAGGGUAAGGAGAUUGUACUCGAAGACCGGGGCUAAGAAUACUUUGACUCCUGAUAUAGUGAGUAACCUUAUUAUCGUCUUAAUUAUCUAAAGUAGUUUUUAUUCGUUUUUGUGAUUUUAUAGAAAAAUGAGUUUAAAUGGUAAAUCCUUAUGUUUUAUAAGUAAAAUGUGAUUAAAUGAAAUGAGUUUUAUAAAUCAUUUUGAAAUUGAAUGAUGAUUUCAGAAAUUGAGUAAUUGGAGACUGUUUGAUUGUGUUGUAAAUUUAUGGUUUGAAUUGAAUGGCUUAUGGUGAUAUUGGCAUGAAUGGUUGAAUUGGAAAUUGUGUUGAAAUUGUAUGAAUUGUUUGUUUUGCCUUAACAAGCUGGGUAGUAAUAUAAUUGUCAUGUCAUGCUAUCGAAACUUUUAUUGAUUUGGUGGGAUAUUGAUUAGUCACUACAGUGGCGGGUUUUCGUGGACCAGCCUAUUAAAAAAGGGCAUGGUAAACCCAAUUAUAUUUUACCUCAGUACGAAAGGCACCGAGGGUAUCUCCUGAGGUAAAGCUUUAGAGUUCACUACACACUAAACCACCACGUGAGGGUGAACUCAGCCAACGCCAAGGAAUGGCUAUGCUUGUAAACGUAAAAAUGUGAUUUAUGCGUAUAUGAACUUUUCUUUAACAACCUUGGCGGACUCGGUUGAUGCCGCUGCGCAAGGUGUCACCGAGCACAAGUUUUGGCACGAGCAAAAUUUUUAAGGAAUUCAUAAACCACGUUGAUUAUUUGAGUGAAAUGAAAUUAUUUUAUUUAGGUGAAAUGAGUUUGAAACGUUAUGAAUCAUAGUACGAUGAACUAUUUUAAGUUGUCUCCAUUUACUCAACUUUAGAUAUUUUAGAUGAUGUUUGUUUACUCACUGAGUUUAUAUAAACUCACCACCCUCCUUUCCACUCAUUCUAGGAUCAGAACAGUCCGCAAAUAGCUGAUUACGUUGAGGGUUAUUAUUGGACUCGCCUCCUCAUAAAUUGUAGGUCCACAGCCUUCGUUACCUUUGGUCAUUCAGGGACCCACACGUCAUUGCAAAUUAAAUUACAUACUCUAGUUAUCUGUGUUACUGCAUGUAUGGAUAUAUUUUACUUUUACACUAUAAAAAUUAUUUACGCAGAGUUCUAUAAAUAUUGUUUUAUAAGAAAAUAGAAUAUUUCAUUUAAUAUUUUUAUUUUAUUCUAUUAGCUACAAUUUCACCCUAAAUGAAU